AGCUUUGUGCAGUGGCAGUAUCGUAGCCAAUGAGGUUUAUCCGAGGCGCGAUUAUUGCUAAUAGAAAUCAAGAGCAAUCAGCCUCAUUCUCCACAGACGGGAACGCUCUCACUGCAUUCUGACGUCUCACCUAGGAG